ACUCCUACGGGAGGCAGCAGUGGGGAAUAUUGGACAAUGGGCGCAAGCCUGAUCCAGCAAUGCCGCGUGUGUGAAGAAGGCCUGAGGGUUGUAAAGCACUUUUAGUUUGGAAGAAGUUGCGCUUUUAGCGUAAUUGACGUUACAAACAGAAAAAGCACCGGCUAACUCUGUGCCAGCAGCCGCGGUAAUACAGAGGGUGCAAGCGUUAAUCGGAAUGAUUGGGCGUAAAGAGCUCGUAGGCGGUUUGUCACGUCGUCUGUGAAAUCCUAGGGCUUAACCCUGGACGUGCAGGCGAUACGGGCUGACUUGAGUACUACAGGGGAGACUGGAAUUUCUGGUGUAGCGGUGGAAUGCACAGAUAUCAGGAAGAACACCGAUGGCGAAGGCAGGUCUCUGGGUAGUAACUGACGCUGAGGAGCGAAAGCAUGGGUAGCGAACAGGAUUAGAUACCCUGGUAGGAUAGCGU
rnacentral:rRNA from 1 species